rnacentral:rRNA from 1 species
UACGUAGGGUGUAAGCGUUAAUCGGAAUUACUGGGCGUAAAGCGUGCGCAGGCGGUUUUGUAAGUUUGUCGUGAAAGCCCCGGGCUCAACCUGGGAAUGGCGAUGAAGACUGCAAGGCUUGAAUCUGGCAGAGGGGGGUAGAAUUCCACGUGUAGCAGUGAAAUGCGUAGAGAUGUGGAGGAACACCGAUGGCGAAGGCAGCCCCCUGGGUCAAGAUUGACGCUCAUGCACGAAAGCGUGGGGAGCAAACAGG